GAUGAACGCUGGCGGCGUGCCUAAUACAUGCAAGUCGAGCGAACAGAUCCGGAUCUUGCUCCUUUGACGUUCGCGGCGGUCAGUUGCGUAACACGUGCCUACCCUACCUAUUAGACUGGGAUCACUUCGCGAAACCAGAUCUAAUACCGGAUAACAUAUUGAACCGCAUGGUUCAAUAGUUAAAGGCGGCUUUGCUGUCACUUAUAGAUGGUUCCGCGCCGUAUUGGCUAGUUGGUAAGGUAACGGCUUACCAAGGCCACGAUACGUAGACGACCGGAGCGAGGGAUCGGCGACACGAGAACGGAGACACGGACCAGACGACUACGGGAGGCAGCAGUAGGGAAUGGUACGCAAUAGGCGAGAGCCUGACGGAGCAACGCCGCGUGAGUGAUGAAGGUCUUGGGAGCGUAAUACCCGGUUAUCAGGGAAGAACAAAUGUGGAAGUAACCGUGGAGAUAGUGACGGUACUGGAUAAGAAAGCCACGGCUAACUACGUG
rnacentral:rRNA from 1 species